rnacentral:rRNA from 1 species
UACAGAGGGGGCAAGCGUUGUUCGGAAUUACUGGGCGUAAAGGGCGCGUAGGCGGCCUUCUAAGUCGAACGUGAAAUCCCUGGGCUCAACCCAGGAACUGCGUCCGAUACUGGAAGGCUUGAAUCCGGAAGAGGAGAGUGGAAUUCCUGGUGUAGCGGUGAAAUGCGCAGAUAUCAGGAAGAACACCCGUGGCGAAGGCGGCUCUCUGGGUCCGCCCUGACGCUGAGGCGCGAAAGCGUGGGGAGCGAACGGG